AAAGGUUCCCGCCGUGAAAAAAAAGUAGAACGCAAUUAACUAGCUGUGUGAGCUGCAGACUUGUAAGCAAUGUUACUCACAGGCAGUAGCGCCGCGGUGUUGAGAAGCAAGCCAACUCGUGCGCUUCCUUGGCCCUUAGGAGUUGAGAUAUGCCAUCGUGCUGAAAAAUAGGAUGAUUAACAGCAAUAACGCAGCAAGCUAACAAUGUUGAGUGAGCUGGAUUUUGUAGGGGCAUAGGCCUUGGAUUGGGUACGAAUUCUUAACAUAUUUCCAUUAGAUUCAGAGAUUCCAGAAUGUAACCAGUUCCGAUGGGAUUAUAUAUAGGAUCGAACGAAACUCAAGACGGAUGUCAUUAAGGGUGACUAACCUUCUUUCUCGCUUGCAGGCAUUGAGGCAUGUGCUUGCUGAAGUUGAUUUGGACCGGUUUGACCACGUUGAGCGCAUGCCAGACCCUAUGCCAAAGCCAGCUUGCUAAUUGUGUUGCUCUCUCUCACCACAGUCUAGACCAUGACUUUGUAGUUUGCAAGCAUCUGUUCAUCACAUGUUUGACUAGUAACCGAAAAUGUCAACAACGGCUGCUGAGGCCAAGAUAUUGCUCUGGCUCCGCCUUAUCUACAGGCAGGUGUUAUUUACUGUGUUUUACACCUAUCCAGCUCAAUUUGCUACCUGGAGCUUGAAUUGCCCAAACUAAUAGAAAAUGGUGAAAAGAUCACAUGUUAAUACCUACCUAAUGUAUUGAUCUCAUCUGCAGAAUCAGGUGAAUUGCUGAGAUGAUUUCUCCCAACAAAAAAUCAGUUUAGAUACAUGACACAGAAUGCACUGACCUUGGACUUUUGCACAGUUGUUGAACUUUAGCCCAUCAUGGUGCUACUGAAUGAUCAGUCCUGUCAGUUCUGAUAGUUUUGUCUUUUCAUCUACACUUCUGACAGGUCUUAUUAAUAGCCCAAGAUGCUGAAAGCGCUGAACUAUUCAAAGAAUCAAAGAGCUGUUUGGUGUGCUUCCGUGUCUAAACCCAAUACUGCGAUAUUUCAGAGCUGUUUGCCUUUGCUGCCCUCCCUGUUCCAGCAUUUGUGGUGUCAGGUUCCUUUCCACCAGUUUAAUCCAGACUUGCUUCCUAAGGGACGGACCUAAGAGACUGACAACGAUAAUUCAGACCUAAUUAACUAUUCAACUGACACAAUGACGCCAGGGAAAUUGCAGUUUGCUACAACAAUACGAGACCCGUUUGUCUCAACUUGAGACCCGUUUGUCUCAACUUGAAUUGUAACAGAUGGUAUGCUGCAUACCACAAUAAGCUAAGACAAAGAAACAUAUAUAUAUAUAACCUUAAACGUGUGUACCAAACCAUAUAGAGCAGACCCACGUGAUUGCAAGCACUGGGAACAUCAUUGUACUCCAAAGGAAAACAUCCUAAAGAGCCGUGACAAGUCGAAACACUUGUAUUAAUUCGAAAACAGAAUGAUCGUCACACAGGAAAGAACGCAGUGGAAAGAUUUUUUGCUAGAUAUCUUUUUGAAAGAAAAAAGAACACAAUCAUCAUCACUAGCAACAGAGAAAGUGUGGACUCGAAGACCUCUGUAUAGAUAUGUUCUCAAGAAUUUGUCGGGAAAAGAUGAGAUAUUCCCAGUAGUAAAUAAAGAGCAAAGAGCUAAGAUCGCAUCAGCUCGUAUCAGAUAGUUGCCACCAAUCCUUGUGGCUCCAAGUUCCUAAGCAACGUGCAGGCUAAAUAAAACCAAAUCAAGCUCAAAGUUCCAAGCUUCAAAUAUAUUUUUAGUACCUGCUGAUCUCACCCUUCCCAGCCUUAAACUACUACUCUAUCUGACAACUACGGAUAAGAUAACACUAGCCCAUGCAUCUUUGCUUAAACAAGUCCUAAUCUCUAUGAGAAAAGAUAAUAAUCUUCUAACUGGAUUCAAGAGGGUUCGGGAAGGGGGAGCGGAAUUAAAGAAUACAUACCCGUGGGCAAGAAUCAUGUAGAGCUGAGCUGCAUAGGCAACUAACCACCCAACCAACAAGAUUAAACAACUAAUAAUCAACAGAUCAAUACAAAGCAUUCGGGUACUAGGCUUUUGCUAUUUGUAUUUAACAAAUCUGUAAGACCAAAUUGUGGGACCCUGGGGACCAUUUUCUUACAUGAGCAUCUAUACUAAGGCCUUAAAGGGCUUGCAUCACCCAGAAAAGGCUCUCGUGCUACAGUGCCAGACCAUGUGGUUGAACCCCAGCCAAAAAAACAGCAGAUUUGUU
rnacentral:lncRNA from 1 species